rnacentral:rRNA from 1 species
GACGAACGCUGGCGGCGUGCUUAACACAUGCAAGUCGAACGGAAAGGCCCUGCUUUUGUGGGGUGCUCGAGUGGCGAACGGGUGAGUAACACGUGAGUAACCUGCCCUUGACUUGGGGAUAACUUCAGGAAACUGGGGCUAAUACCGGAUAGGAGCUCCUGCUGCAUGGUGGGGGUUGGAGAGUUUCGGCGGUUGGGGAUGGACUCGCGGCUUAUCAGCUUGUUGGUGGGGUAGUGGCUUACCAAGGCUUUGACGGGUAGCCGGCCUGAGAGGGUGACCGGCCACAUUGGGACUGAGAUACGGCCCAGACUCCUACGGGAGGCAGCAGUGGGGAAUAUUGCACAAUGGGCGGAAGCCUGAUGCAGCAACGCCGCGUGCGGGAUGACGGCCUUCGGGUUGUAAACCGCUUUCGCCUGUGACGAAGCGUGAGUGACGGUAAUGGGUAAAGAAGCACCGGCUAACUACGUG